rnacentral:rRNA from 1 species
AUUGAACGCUGGCGGCAGGCCUAACACAUGCAAGUCGAGCGAGCGGCGGACGGGUGAGUCAUGUCUGUGAACCUGCCUGAUGGAGGGGGAUAACUACUGGAAACGGUAGCUAAUACCGCAUACCAUCAGAUGUGCCCAGAUGGGAUUAGCUAGUAGGUGGGGUAAUGGCUCACCAAGGCGACGAUCCCUAGCUGGUCUGAGAGGAUGACCAGCCACACUGGAACUGAGACACGGUCCAGACUCCUACGGGAGGCAGCAGUGGGGAAUAUUGCACAAUGGGCGCAAGCCUGAUGCAGCCAUGCCGCGUGUAUGAAGAAGGCCUUCGGGUUGUAAAGUACUUUAAGCUGGGAGGCGUUACCCGCAGAAGAAGCACCGGCUAACUCCGUGCCAGCCGCCGCGGUAAUAC